GGAAGCUCCACAACCUUUCAUUUGCCUGGGCUUGUUGACAUUGGGCCCAUGCCCCACAGAGCCUAUUUGUUCCAAGACUCACUUCCCAUGUUAUCUCAAGGUUUCAUCUGACGCACAAACUAAAACGUCUUAAGGACUCAGAUAUAACCCAAAUGGUUUUCCACAUUGAACAAAGGUUAAAAAUUGAGAAUGACCACGCUGUGGGCCGUGACAGCUAUGAAGUUCUAUAUUUUCAUGAAUUAAAAAAAAGUAACAUUUUGAGAAAAGAACUAUAUAUUUGAGGUAGAGUACUUAAUUAAAGCACCAAGUCCAAAUCAAUUGAAGAAAGAGAUCCUCAUGGAUGAAAAAGUGAGCUCAGAGAGCCCAGAGUAGCCUGAGGAGCUUGUCGAGUUUGAGAGGCAUUAGCAGAAAAAUGGGGCUUCCCUGGUGGCUCAGACAGUAAAGAAUCUGCCUGCAGUGCAGGAGACUGGGGUUCAAUCCUUGGAUCAGAAAUGAUGCAGAAGGGAAUGGCUACCCACUCCAGUAUUCUUGCCUGGAAAAAUCUCAUGGACAGAGGAGCAUGGUAGGUUCCAUGGGGUUGCAAAGAGUCAGACACAACUGAGCGACUAAGCAAAUACACACCCAGAAGAAAGAAGAGCAGAAUGGAUCACAGAGAAUUUGGGCCCACCCCGACUCCGGUCCUUUCCAAAGUGUGUGUGAAAAAGAAACGCUCACAUGAACCCUGAAAGCUGGUAAGGCAGAAGCCAGAGGCUCGAGGUGGACGGACGCAGCAGCUCCUGAGGCAGGGAGGCCGUGAACUCCGAGCUCUGCAGUUCCAUAUGGUUAUCAUCAGUCGGCUGAUUUCUUCAGAAACAAUUAACAAUCUUGUUAGACACGGGAAGAAGCCAUGUGAGCGCGUCUGCCUGUUGCUGGUGACACUGCAUCUCCUCCGCAUCCCUUUAGUCUCUGACAAAUUACUCAGCCUGCUGGAGCAGGAUCCCUCAAAGGCUGGGAAACGGUAUCCCUUGUCUGAGACAGCCCCUCUUACCACAACUAAAAUUGGGCCUUUAGGCAAGCAAUCACACGGAAAGAGAUCUGUUUUGUUUCUGUGGCACCAAAUGACAGUAUUAAGAAAUGAAGGCAGUGUGAAGAACAAUGAAAAAACCAGCUUGAAAUGCAGCACCAUUCAAGGAAGACUGUUUGAGUAUCUGAUAUUUUGCCCUUUCUGGAAAACUAUUGAUCCUGAGGUCAUGGGAAGAGUGAGCCGCAUAAAAGACUUCUGUAGGGCACGCAGGAAGAGCCAGCUCCGAAGACCCCCUUUGGACAUUAAAGUAAGACCUUCAGUGGAUUGUUAA
rnacentral:lncRNA from 1 species